UACGUAGGGUGCAAGCGUUAAUCGGAAUUACUGGGCGUAAAGCGCACGUAGGCGGGUCGUUAAGUCAGGGGUGAAAUCCCGGAGCUCAACUCCGGAACUGCCUUUGAUACUGGCGAUCUAGAGAUCGAGAGAGGUGAGUGGAAUUCCGAGUGUAGAGGUGGAAUUCGUAGAUAUUCGGAAGAACACCAGUGGCGAAGGCGGCUCACUGGCUCGAUACUGACGCUGAGGUGCGAAAGCGUGGGGAGCAACAGG
rnacentral:rRNA from 1 species